UACACGCUGUGACUAGCAUAUCAAUAAGCGGAGGAAAAGAAACUAACAAGGAUUCCCCUAGUAACGGCGAGUGAAGCGGGAAGAGCUCAAAUUUGAAAUCUUAAAGGGUUUCCCUUUACGAAUUGUAGUUUAAAGAAGUGUUUUCUGUUGAGGUUUUGGUAAAAGUUCUUUGGAAUAGGACAUCAUAGAGGGUGAGAAUCCCGUAUUUGACCUUUACUUUCAACUUUGUGAUACACUUUCAAAGAGUCGGAUUGUUUGGGAAUGCAGUCCAAAAUGGGUGGUAAAUUUCAUCUAAAGCUAAAUAUCGGCGAGAGACCGAUAGCGAACAAGUACCGUGAGGGAAAGAUGAAAAGAACUUUGAAAAGAGAGUUAAACAGUACGUGAAAUUGUCAAAAGGGAAGCGUUUGACACCAGUGUUGUUUUUCUGAAAAUCAAUUAAAGAACUGUUUAUGCUAAGCUGUUUAGACUUUAUCAGCUAUCUGUUUAGUUUUGAGCUUUUCUCUAAUGCACUUUUCAGUUAACAAGUCAACAUCAAUUUCUUUUGCUGUAAAAAAGCUUGAGGAAGGUGGCUUGAGAUUCGUCUUAAGUGUUUAUAGCCUCUUGCCUAUGCAGUCGGAGAGAUUGAGGUCUGCAGCGUAGAUCCUUCGGGGCUAAAUGCAUUUGUGCUAAGUUAUAGCAUUUUAUAGACAACUUGUUGACUAUGAUUUGUCUUGUAGCUUACUCGCUUAUGUUAUUUUACCUACGCUUAGGAUGUUGAUAUGCAUGACUGAUAU
rnacentral:rRNA from 1 species